rnacentral:rRNA from 1 species
CGUGGGUAACCUGCCCAAGAGAUCGGGAUAACACCUGGAAACAGAUGCUAAUACCGGAUAACAACAGAUGAUGCCUAUCAACUGUUUAAAAGAUGGUUCUGCUAUCACUCUUGGAUGGACCUGCGGUGCAUUAGCUAGUUGGUAGGGUAACGGCCUACCGAGGCGAUGAUGCAUAGCCGAGUUGAGAGACUGAUCGGCCACAUUGGGACUGAGACACGGCCCAAACUCCUACGGGAGGCAGCAGUC